UACUCUUUAUAUCAUAAAAACUCUACACACAUAAUUUGAUGGCAUGGAUGUGAAUGCUCUAAACCCUAGCCUCCUCUCCUUCAAAUUACUAAUGUGAAUUCUGGUCACCAUACUUCAAAUAAAGAGUAAGAAGAAGUUAGGGCUUACUUGAGAUGAAGAAAUACGAACGAUGUAGAUGACGUUAUCGGAAGAAGCGAAAAAGAACCGAUUAUGUUCGAUGUUGAAAGCGGUGCAACGAAUCUGUUCGAUGUCGAAAGCGGUGCAAUGUCGUAAGCAUCGGAGAAGUGGAUUUUGAAGCUGAUUGUAUGAAGGAUGAUGGAAACCCUAGGGCAACUUCUAUACAUCGACUGUAGAAGAAUGUGAGAUUAACUUUCCUAAUCUCACUGAAGUAGAUUAGGUUUUAAUGAUUAUUGAUGUGAAAUAGUUGGUUUUUAUCUUUUUAGAUUAAUUUUCUUGGUUUGUAACUUGUGUUUUUUAAUAUUGCGCCUAACAAUAGUCGGGUUUUGCUUAUAAAAGCUCUUGCCUAGUUCAAGGCUCACUCUUUGUACCAUGUUUGCUGAUCUUUUGGACUGGAAUUUUACAAGAUUGUAAAGUUGGAGGUCCUUUUGUAUGUUGUUGUAGACGAGAAUGGGCAGCUUCCAAAAGUUUCCUUUAGGCCACGAGUGCUAGUAACAUGGUCAAUGGGAUUCUUAGGAAGAUCAAGGUGAAAGAAACCACUGGGAUUUCUGCAUGGAUAGUAACGACAAGUAUGGUUGUACCAUGCAUAGUUGACAAUCCCUUUUCUGUUCUUUCUUUUGUUGUGAUUUAUAUUUAGUUUUUCAAUGGGUUGCAUUUGGAAUCGGAUCGAUUAAUGACAUGAUCUAUCCUGACUUAUUGCCUGACUUCCUACUUAUAUCAAAUGUACCAUAUAUGCAGGAUGUUAAAAUGCUGAUUGAAGACAUAGGGGAGCUGAAACCUACUAUUUUCUGUGUUAUUCCUCGAGUUCUGGAAAGAAUUUAUUCAGGGAUUUUUCUGUUAGUCACAAGGUUCUUUUGUAUGAUACUCAUGUUAUUGUUAGUAACCGUUUCCAUUCUUUGUUAGGUUUACAACAGGAAAUUUCUGCUGGCGGUUUUAUCAAACGCAACUUAUUUAAUCUGGCUUGUUCAUACAAGUUACGUAAUAUGAACGCAGGGAUAGAACAUUCAAAGGCAUCUCCUCUUAGUGAUAAAAUUGUCUUUAGCCAGGUUAUAGAUAAUCAACUGGAUGUAAGUGAUUUUGAUGAAUUUUGUAGUGAUUUGGAUUGUUUGAUCAUGUUUUUAGGGUUUGAUCCGAUUCGAUUUCGAGUUGUAAGCAUGCUGUUUGAUUCGAUUUCGAGUUUCAAUUUGGUACUUUUGAUGAAUUUGAAGGCAUAGAGUUUGUUUA